UCGCCAAUGUUCGGAAAACCGUUUCUCUCCAAAAAACGAUAAACAGUCCAUCCGCGACUAUAAAAAAGCAUACAAAACUCCUUAAGAUAUAAAACCUUCGCGAAGGUCCAAACAACGGUAACACCCACCACCUAAGUUUGUUGCUGAUCACAACAAACUCACAACAGUCCUAAACAAACUUAAGUUAUCUCGCAUAGAUAGCUCUCAUACACCCGACACAAGGGUAAUAGCGCUAUAAAGAAAUCCAAAUUUUGGUCAGCACCUUCGGGGUACUCGAUUCCAACCAGACGAGUCGUAUAAGCCGAGAACCUAUCACGGGCUAGUCAUCGCAUAGCC
rnacentral:lncRNA from 1 species